AGGGAAAAUAGUUUCCAAAAAAAAUGAAAAAAUGCAUAGAUUGGAAAUUUGAACACAAUCUGCCACAAUGAAGCAC